rnacentral:rRNA from 1 species
AUUGAACGCUGGCGGCAGGCCUAACACAUGCAAGUCGAGCGAGCGGCGGACGGGUGAGUAAUGCCUGGGAAUUGCCCAGUCGAGGGGGAUAACAGUUAGAAACGACUGCUAAUACCGCAUACGAUUGGAUCGCCCAGGUGGGUUGAGCUAGUUGGUGGGGUAAUGGCUCACAAAGGCGACGAUCCCUAGCUGGUCUGAGAGGAUGAUCAGCAACACUGGAACUGGGACACGGUCCAGACUCCUACGGGAGGCAGUAGUGGGGAAUAUUGCACAAUGGGGGAAACCCUGAUGCAGCCAUGCCGCGUGUGUGAAGAAGGCCUUCGGGUUGUAAAGGCCUUUCAGCGAGGAGGCGUUACUCGCAGAAGAAGCACCGGCUAACUCCGUGCCAGCAGCCGCGGUAAUAC